GACGAACGCUGGCGGCGUGCCUAAUACAUGCAAGUUGAGCGCUGAAGGUUGGUACUUGUACCGACUGGAUGAGCAGCGAACGGGUGAGUAACGCGUGGGGAAUCUGCCUUUGAGCGGGGGACAACAUUUGGAAACGAAUGCUAAUACCGCAUAANAACUUUAAACACAAGUUUUAAGUUUGAAAGAUGCAAUUGCAUCACUCAAAGAUGAUCCCGCGUUGUAUUAGCUAGUUGGUGAGGUAAAAGCUCACCAAGGCGAUGAUACAUAGCCGACCUGAGAGGGUGAUCGGCCACAUUGGGACUGAGACACGGCCCAAACUCCUACGGGAGGCAGCAGUAGGGAAUCUUCGGCAAUGGACGAAAGUCUGACCGAGCAACGCCGCGUGAGUGAAGAAGGUUUUCGGAUCGUAAAACUCUGUUGGUAGAGAAGAACGUUGGUGAGAGUGGAAAGCUCAUCAAGUGACGGUAACUACCCAGAAAGGGACGGCUAACUACGUGCCAGCAGCCGCGGUAAUACGUAUGUCCCGAGCGUUGUCCGGAUUUAUUGGGCGUAAAGCGAGCGCAGGUGGUUUAUUAAGUCUGGUGUUAAAGGCAGUGGCUCUACCAUUGUA
rnacentral:rRNA from 1 species